rnacentral:rRNA from 1 species
GCAGUCGAACGAAGCCUUCGGGCUUAGUGGCGCACGGGUGCGUAACGCGUGGGAAUCUGCCCUUGGGUUCGGAAUAACAGUUAGAAAUGACUGCUAAUACCGGAUGAUGUCUUCGGACCAAAGAUUUAUCGCCCAAGGAUGAGCCCGCGUCGGAUUAGCUAGUUGGUGAGGUAAAGGCUCACCAAGGCGACGAUCCGUAGCUGGUCUGAGAGGAUGAUCAGCCACACUGGGACUGAGACACGGCCCAGACUCCUACGGGAGGCAGCAGUGGGGAAUAUUGGACAAUGGGCGAAAGCCUGAUCCAGCAAUGCCGCGUGAGUGAUGAAGGCCUUAGGGUUGUAAAGCUCUUUUACCCGGGAUGAUAAUGACAGUACCGGGAGAAUAAGCCCCGGCUAACUCCGUGCCAGCAGCCGCGGUAAUACGGAGGGGGCUAGCGUUGUUCGGAAUUACUGGGCGUAAAGCGCACGUAGGCGGCUUUGUAAGUUAGAGGUGAAAGCCCAGAGCUCAACUCUGGAACUGCCUUUAAGACUGCAUCGCUUGAAUCAUGGAGAGGUUAGUGGAAUUCCGAGUGUAGAGGUGAAAUUCGUAGAUAUUCGGAAGAACACCAGUGGCGAANGCGACUAACUGGACAUGUAUUGACGCUGANGUGCGAAAGCGUGGGGAGCACACAGGAUUAGAUACCCUGGUAGUCCACGCCGUAAACGAUGAUAACUAGCUGUC